CACACAUUUGCUAAUUGUAAUAUACGUGCAUACAUUUUUUGGACUGUGAGUAAGAAAUCCUUUUGUGUGGACCCAGGGGCCCGCUGGCUCCAUAAAAGACUCCAGGAGUUAAAGAAAAAUGGAAUAUUUUGCACAGUCCUGUGAAAAACCUUCAACAGCCAAGAUGAAGGUGAUGCACCAUGGCGCUCUAAGCAGAAGUCUUUACGCUGGCACCAAUUUCUGUUUAAUUGUUCUACUAACUGAAAUGUUUACCUUAAACCUUGAAGGUUGAAUGAAUAGCAUUUGUUGGUUGAUGUUUGCAAACACA